rnacentral:rRNA from 1 species
UACGUAGGGUGCGAGCGUUGUCCGGAUUUAUUGGGCGUAAAGGGCUCGUAGGCGGUCUGUCGCGUCGGGUGUGAAAGCCCACUGCUUAACGGUGGGUCUGCUUCCGGUACGGGCGGGCUGGAGGGUGGCAGGGGAGACUGGAAUUCCUGGUGUAGCGGUGGAAUGCGCAGAUAUCAGGAGGAACACCAAUGGCGAAGGCAGCUCGCUGGGACGGUACUGACGCUGAGACGCGAAAGCGUGGGGAGCAAACAGG